rnacentral:rRNA from 1 species
UACGUAGGGUGCAAGCGUUGUCCGGAAUUAUUGGGCGUAAAGAGCUCGUAGGCGGUCUGUCGCGUCUGCUGUGAAAACUCAGGGCUUAACCCUGAGCUUGCAGUGGGUACGGGCAGACUAGAGUGCGGUAGGGGAGACUGGAAUUCCUGGUGUAGCGGUGAAAUGCGCAGAUAUCAGGAGGAACACCGGUGGCGAAGGCGGGUCUCUGGGCCGUAACUGACGCUGGAGGAGCGGAAAGCAUGGGAGCGAACAG